UACUAAGGGGGCUAGCGUUGCUCGGAAUCACUGGGCGUAAAGCGCACGUAGGCGGAUUGUUAAGUCAGGGGUGAAAUCCUGGAGCUCAACUCCAGAACUGCCUUUGAUACUGGCGAUCUCGAGUCCGGGAGAGGUGAGUGGAACUGCGAGUGUAGAGGUGAAAUUCGUAGAUAUUCGCAAGAACACCAGUGGCGAAGGCGGCUCACUGGCCCGGUACUGACGCUGAGGUGCGAAAGCGUGGGGAGCAAACAGG
rnacentral:rRNA from 1 species